rnacentral:rRNA from 1 species
GUUGUAUAGUCAAGUAAUUAAGUGCAUGUGGUGGAUGCCUUGGCAGUCAGAGGCGAUGAAAGACGUGAUAGCCUGCGAAAAGCUCCGGGGAGGCGGCAAAUAUCCUUUGAUCCGGAGAUGUCUGAAUGGGGGAACCCACCUACUUUAAGGUAGGUAUUGCAACAUGAAUACAUAGUGUUGCAAGGCGAACGAGGGGAAGUGAAACAUCUCAGUACCCUUAGGAAAAGAAAUCAAUUGAGAUUCCCUCAGUAGCGGCGAGCGAACGGGGAUCAGCCCAUUAAGUUAUGUGUGUUUUAGUGGAACGCUCUGGGAAGUGCGAACGUAGAGGGUGAUAUUCCCGUACACGAAAGGGCACACAUAAUGAUGACGAGUAGGGCGAGGCACGUGAAACCUUGUCUGAAUAUGGGGGGACCAUCCUCCAAGGCUAAAUACUCCUGACUGACCGAUAGUGAACCAGUACCGUGAGGGAAAGGCGAAAAGAACCCCUGUGAGGGGAGUGAAAUAGAUCCUGAAACCGCAUGCAUACAAGCAGUGGGAGCACCUUCGUGGUGUGACUGCGUACCUUUUGUAUAAUGGGUCAGCGACUUAUAUUCAGUAGCAAGGUUAACCGUAUAGGGGAGCCGUAGAGAAAUCGAGUCUUAAUAGGGCGUUUAGUUGCUGGGUAUAGACCCGAAACCAGGCGAUCUAUCCAUGAGCAGG